ACAAUAUAAAAAUAGUUUUCCUUUUUCUCUUUUUCUUCAGCUGCAGCCCUUACAUGAAUUAUUGUCCAGGACAAACCUUGGUAAUUUGGAAACCAAGAAGAGAAACUUGAAAAGGGCUUUAGAUCAGUAUUUAAUGGAAUUCAAUACCUGCCGUUGUGGUCCCUGUAAGAACAACGGUGAACCAAUCCUGCUGGGAGCUACCUGUGUUUGUGAGUGUAAACAAGGCUACCUAGGUCCUGACUGUGGAGAGACAAAGAGGAAAGGUUAUCCAGUUCAAGGUAGCUGGAGUUGCUGGACUCCAUGGGCAGCUUGUCAAGGGGGAUCUAGAAGCCGCACAAGACAGUGUACAAACCCACCUCCUGAAAAUGGUGGAACAACAUGCCCAGGCAGGAAUACGCAAACAGAGACAUGUUAAUAACUAAUAAUGCUAUGAGUGGAUUAAUGGGUUGUGCUACCAGGCAGGAAAAUGUUGGGAGCUUGAUGCAAAUAGAGUCAAAACAAAUGGGCCAUAAAUAUUGACUUACCUUUAGGACAAUGGAAAAUCCCAGUAGCAAUCAUAUAAAGAAAAAGAAAUGUAAAUGUUUUGUACACUUUGUACAUCAGUAUUGUAACUGUAGUAAUUAUUUUUGUUGAAUGCAGAAGUCCGCCAUAAGGAAGAUAUUUUUGCUCUGCACAAAAUUUAAAGCAAGAAAAAAAUCGUUAUAUUGCUAGCCCUGUAAUAUUCUAUUGACUAACAUGUUGGGACUAUUCAGAGAAUUCAUUUUCCUGUGAAUACCUAGUGUAUGAUACAAAAUAGAAUGAACUUCCUUCCCAGAAGGAAGUACAAUCCUUCUGGGAAGGAAUUUACUACCAUGGCAACAAAAAAAUUUUUUUUUUCCUGCUGUUGGACAAAUUUGUUCCCAAAGUAA